UUUUAUUUUAAUUAUCUAUUCUAUUAUGUUAAAAAAAAAAGAUGUUGAGGUGCAAACGAAGGUUGGAACUGGUUCCAUAACACAAACUAAUGUGCCAGGUGUCCCACUCUUACCCCGCCUCCCAAGGUUCCACCAACCUCCAUUUGCGUCUCUCGGACACACAAACAAACACUUUCCGACCGACUCCGCCGCCCGCCAUGGAUGCCCACCAGCUCUUCGAUUCCCUCACUGCCCAUAUCGCCCUCUACCACUCCUCAAAACCAAACCCGAACCCCAAGCCUCGCGCCGCCGUCCUCAGGUGGUUCUCCUCCCUCUCCGCUUCUCACCGCCAGUCCGCCCUUACCGUCAUCGACCCCGACUUCGUCCGCAUCCUCCUCCAGAUGCUCUCCCGCCUCCGCCGUCACGGCCACGGCUUCUUCUUCCUCCUCCCUGACCUCCCCGCCUCUUCCUCCCCCUCCCUCCCCUCCCUCUGCUUCCGCCGCUACCACGGCCUCCUCGCCCGCGCCGCCGCCUCCUCCACCGCCGAGCUUGACCUCGCUCGCUCCCUCCGCCUCUUCGGGUCCCGGGAGGGCGAGCAGACCGCCGACUGUCCCCUGGAUUUCCUCACGGUCUCCGAGGACUUGGUCGUCGACGCGGACCGGUUCGUGGAGGUCAUGGAUGGGAUCUCCGGUGGGAGGUUCCUGAGAGAAGAGGAGAGUGGGUUGGGGGCGCCCUGGGCGGAGCUGCCGUGGUUGAAGGAUAAGGGGUACUACAGCUUGGAGGCAUUCGUGGCGAAUCGGCUGGAGGUGGCGUUGAGGCUGGCGUGGCGUAGCUCCCAUGGAGGGAAGAAUCCGAAGGGGAGGAAGGCAGCGAAGGAGAGGGCUGCGGUCGCUGGUCUAGCUGCCAAUGCCUUUUGGAGGAAGAAGGGGUGCCUGGACUGGUGGAUGGGGUUGGAUCCCGGACAGAGAAAGAAGAUUUUUCAGGCUUUUUUAGGGAAAGCAGCGAAAUUUCUGGAUCAAGGAUGUGGAGAAGACUGUGCAGAUGAUAGCAGCUCUGGGCUUUGCCCCCCAGAAAGCACUCUUUCAGUAGUGGAUAAUCAGAAGGCAAGGACAACUAGUCCUUGUGUUCCAAAGAAAGAUCCUGGGAGGGAAACUCCGUUAACAAAAAAGGGAAUAGAAGUAAGAAAAAAGGUGGAAGAAAAGGAGCAUGCUGCAGGUUUAGCUGACAGCAAGGGCCAUAGACGUAAGAAAAAAGGUGGAAGAAAAGGAGCUAAAAGUAAAAAUUCUGGCUUAGUGAAAGUUGGAUUUUCUGAAUUUGAUAACAAGAAAACUGCUGUAACAUCUGUUGCUCCAGAAAGUGAACUGACAGAAUCUUUACCUGACCCCAAUGAUUCUGCUGCCAGGCAUAGUCUGUCUCCUGUUUCUAAUUUAUGUGAUGCUUCUGUUAAGCCUGAUUUCAUCAAUCACAAUGAAAUGAUGAGCAUCCAGCUAGAUCCUGACCCUCAUUCUAUUGCAGAUUUCUGUUUUACUGGUGUGGAAUGUAAUAUGAGUUCAAACAAUUCAGAAGACUAUAAUUCUAUUAAAAUGGCUGAAGGCAUCUCCCAGAUAUCUUCAGGAUCUUCUGUGAGAAACAUUAAUGUUUGUUGUGACAAACUUGUAAAUUGUAUUAAUUCUUCCAUAAGUUGUUCCAGUAGCAAUACUGCAUGUGAAGUAAUGAGCCCUGCUGUGUGUACACUCGAGCUUAAGGAACAUGAGCAUGAUAGUACCCAGGAUAUAAAUAACACCCAUUCACAGUAUGUUGCUCCUCCAAACUUGGUUCAAGGUAUUAUGGAUGAGAAUAGUUCCAUAAUCGAGAAUAAUGGUAGUGAAUCUUAUGUACGAAACCACACAAGUUUCAUGGGAGGCACUUCAUAUGAGUGGCCUACCAUAUCGCCUCCUGAUUUUACAUCUGUUCAUUCACAGCAUCUCCCAGCUGCCACAGACAGAUUACAUCUGGAUGUUGGUCAUAAAUGGCCCAGUCACUUUCAUCAGUCCUUUCUGCCUUCCAGGCAUCAGGGAAGAAAGCCAUCAAGUGAAGGUGGGCGCAGCCGAAUUUUACCUUCUCUAACUUUGCCCAUGAGUUUGGACUGGCCUCCUAUGGUCAAAACUUGCAGUAGAUUGAGUCAGACUGUGACUGUAAGCUAUGAUUCUGGAUAUGAUCCAAGGAUGCAGUCUUCACUCUGCCCAGGAUUUGCUACUUAUGGACUGCAAAUUAAUGGGACUUCCGGUGAGAAUGAGAGAAAGCAUCCUGGGGAUAUUUUAGAUAUGUAUGAUUUGAAAAACACUUCUGAUUUGGUGGAUGAUACUGAAAGCUGCUGGUUUUCUGUAGAAGAAUAUGAAACUCAUGCAUUUUCUGGAAAGGAUUAUAAUCAAUUUUUUGGUGGUGGAAUAAUGUACUGGAAUCCUGCUGAACAUGUUGGAACGGGUUUCUCUCGCCCACCUUCUCACAGUUCUGAAGAGAGUGCUUGGGCUUGGCAUGAAGCAGAUAUGAAUAGAGCUGUUGAUGAUAUGGUUGGCAUGCCUGGAUUAUCUGCUUCCUACAAUUCGAAUGGUCUGCCCUCACCACCUGCUGCCCCAUUUUGUUCACCAUUUGAUCCAUUGGGACCGGGACACCAGUCUGUUGGUUAUGCUAUGCCAGGAAAUGACAGUACUGGAAAGGUACUGAACUCCUCAUCUUCAGUAUCCGAUGGUCCUGAAGAGAAAGCCUCAAUAUCUGUGAAAAAUCCACCUAAUGGUUUUGAGGGAGUGAAAGGGGAUACACUUCCAUAUUCAAUGCUGCGGCCGAUCAUUGUUCCAAGUAUAUCAAGGAGGGGUUCAAGAUCUGAAUUUAAGGUUGGUCAUGAUCAUAAAAGCCCAUGUAUACCUACUACUAAGAGGGAGACCCAUCGCAUCAAGCGGCCUCCAUCACCAGUGGUACUUUGUGUUCCUCGAGUACCUCGACCUCCUCCACCUUCUCUAGUUGGAGAAUCUAGAAAGAGGGGCUUUCCAGUUGUAAGAUCUGGUAGCUCAAGUCCUAGCCAUUGGGGUAUGAGAAGUUGGUAUUCUGAUGAAAGUAAUUCUGAGGAAACUCGACUUUGUUGGGAUGGUGCUGAAGUUGUUUGGCCUUCAUGGCGAAACAAAGGGCUGGCUACCUCUUCAAUGGUGCAAUCUAUUCACGGGUCUUUGUUGCAAGAUCACCUUAUUACAAUUUCCCAGCUAGCUCGUGAUCAGGAACAUCCAGAUGUUGCCUUACCAUUGCAACCUCCUGAUUUAUUGAAUUGUCCAUCUAAUGAGUCAUCUCUGUCUCUGAUGCACAAUCUUCUUCACGAGGAUAUUGAUCUUUUCUGCAAGCAGGUUGGUGCUGAGAAUCUGAUCUGGAAGCCCUACACUAACUGGGCUGUCAAGAGGGUCACACGAUCUCUUCAGGUACUCUGGCCUCGCUCUCGGACAAAUAUAUUUGGUUCCAAUGCAACUGGUUUAGCUCUUCCAACUAGUGAUGUGGACCUCGUGGUUUCUCUCCCUCCAGUACGGAAUUUGGAAUCCAUCAAAGAAGCUGGAAUUUUGGAAGGUCGCAAUGGUAUCAAGUAAACAUGCCUUCAGCAUGCAGCUAGGUACCUUGCAAACCAAGAAUGGGUUAGAAAUGACUCCCUAAAAACAAUAGAAAACACUGCAAUACCUGUCAUCAUGCUUGUGGCAGAUGUUCCUCAUGACAUUAGUCUUUCAAAUGACAAUUCUUCCAUUGUGGAGACACCAGAAGCACAUUCAACCAAGAUGCCUGGAAAGGAAAGCAUCCCUUGUCCAGAUCUGUCUAGUUCAGCAAAUACCUCUUGGCCAAUGUGUUCAAAAAUGAAAAAGGAUGUUGCUGUUGAUGUGAAAUCAAUUCGUCUUGAUAUCAGCUUCAAGUCACCAUCACACACAGGACUUG